rnacentral:rRNA from 1 species
GACGAACGCUGGCGGCGUGCUUAACACAUGCAAGUCGAACGGAAAGGCCCUGCUUUUGUGGGGUGCUCGAGUGGCGAACGGGUGAGUAACACGUGAGUAACCUGCCCUUGACUUUGGGAUAACUUCAGGAAACUGGGGCUAAUACCGGAUAGGAGCUCCUGCUGCAUGGUGGGGGUUGGAAAGUUUCGGCGGUUGGGGAUGGACUCGCGGCUUAUCAGCUUGUUGGUGGGGUAGUGGCUUACCAAGGCUUUGACGGGUAGCCGGCCUGAGAGGGUGACCGGCCACAUGGCGACUAAGAUACGGCCCAGACUCGUACGGGAGGCAGCGGUGGGGAAUAUUGCACAGUGGGCGGAAGCCUGAUGCAGCAACGCCGCGUGCGGGAUGACGGCCUUCGGGUUGUAAACCGCUUUCGCCUGUGACGAAGCGUGAGUGACGGUAAUGGGUAAAGAAGCACCGGCUAACUACGUG